UAAACUCAAGCAGCUUCAGGUCACAAGCGUUCUAAUGGUACCCAUUAUGUUCUUUUUUCAUGGUAAAUUUUAUCAUUCAGUUUCUAGUAUUUGAAUUUGAUGCGGUUUCUUGUACUGGAUAAUUGGAAACUAGAGCUUUGACAUAAAUUCAGAAGUAACACUGGUCUAUAUUCAGUUUUUGGUACUAUUUUUCUAUUCUCGUUGAAUCCUUGAUUGCAGUAAUAGUUUGAGAAUCUUGUACCAAAAUACCAAGUUGAGAGCUUGGAUUCUUAGAAAUGUCAAUGAACUCUUGAAGAAGAAAUUUAUGAUUACCACCAACAUCACUAAAAAUCCUCUAUUUGUGUGCCUUGAAUCAUUUUGGUAUAUGUGUUAAGCCGUAUAUUAAUGUGUUUACUUUGUGUUCAGUAGUUGUGAUCUCAUUAUGCUUAUUUGUUUGAGCCAGUAGAUGCGAAGAAGGGGAUGGAGUGAAGAUAGUAAAUGCAGUAUAGAAUGAGGAUAUAAAUGCUACUCAAGAUGGGAAAGAGGCGACAAAAAAUUGUGAAGAUAGAGUUGAAGAACCGAAGGAGGGGAUGACAUUCGACACAUCAGAGGACGCUUAUAUAUUUUACAGAAGAACAAUCAAGUUUUACAGAAAAGAUGAAAAAGACGAAAAAUGGUGAAAAGUAGUUAGCAGUUGAAGUUGCAGCAGUUGAUGCUGCUGUUGUGGUUGUUUAUUUUCUGGACAGUUGCAGUGGCCAUUUGUUUUGUACAUCCUGUUUGGUUAUGGUGGCUGCGAUGUCCUGUUUUGAGUGGUGGUUGUUUAAUUUUGGAGUUGCUUUGCUAUUUUUUCUGGUGAUGUAAUGAACUAUUGGCACUUAUGUAUCCAAUGAGCUUGUUUAGUUUUGGACCUUUGUUUGAUAAAAAAUUUGAUAGAGUUUUCUCUAUUUUUGGUCUUUGCCCGACUCACGUCGCAUUCAAUACAACAAUAACAAUAGCA
rnacentral:lncRNA from 1 species